rnacentral:rRNA from 1 species
AUUGAACGCUGGCGGCAUGCUUUACACAUGCAAGUCGAACGGCAGCGCGGGCUUCGUCCUGGCGGCGGGUGGCCAACGGGCGAGUAAUUCAUCGGAACGUGCCCUGUAGUGGGGGAUAGCUCGACGUAAGCCGACGUAAUACCACAUACGAUCUGAGCUUGAAAGCGGGGUUUCUUCGUACCUCGCUGUAUUUGAGUCGCCGAUGGCAGAUUAGCUAGUUGGUUGGGUAAAGGCCUACCAAGGCGACGAUCUGUAGCUGGUCUGAGUGGACGACCAGCCACACUGGGACUGAGAAACGGCCCAGACUCCUACGGGAGGCAGCAGUGGGGAAUUUUGGACAAUGGGCGAAGGCCUGAUCCAGCAAUGCCGCGUGUGUGAUGAAGGCUUUCGGGUUGUAAAGCACUUUUGGAGGGAACGAAAAGGACUGUGCCAAUACCACGGUUCGAUGACGGUACCCGCAGAAUAAGCAACGGCUAACUACGUG